rnacentral:tRNA from 2 species
AGGAGCGUGGUGAAAUUGGUAGACACGUUUGGUUUAGGGCCAGAAAUUUAUAGGUUCGAUUCCUAUCGUUCUUA